AACGAACGCUGGCGGCAGGCUUAACACAUGCAAGUCGAACGCACCGCAAGGUGAGUGGCAGACGGGUGAGUAACGCGUGGGAACCUACCCCUUGGUACGGGAUAGCUCCGGGAAACUGGAGAUAAUACCGUAUGUGUCCUGAGGGACAAAGAUUCAUCGCCAAGGGAUGGGCCCGCGUCGGAUUAGCUAGUUGGUGGGGUAACGGCCUACCAAGGCGACGAUCCGUAGCUGGUCUAAGAGGAUGAUCAGCCACACUGGGACUGAGACACGGCCCAGACUCCUACGGGAGGCAGCAGUGGGGAAUAUUGGACAAUGGGCGCAAGCCUGAUCCAGCCAUGCCGCGUGAGUGAUGAAGGCCCUAGGGUUGUAAAGCUCUUUCACCGGGGACGAUAAUGACGGUACCCGGAGAAGAAGCCCCGGCUAACUUCGUGCCAGCCGCCGCCGUAAGAC
rnacentral:rRNA from 1 species